UACGAGUGCUCCAAGCGUUAUCCGGAAUCAUUGGGCGUAAAGGGUGUGUAGGUGGUAAUGUUAGUCUUCUGUUAAAUUCUUCGGCUCAACCGGGGGCAUGCAGGGGAAACGGCAUUUACUAGAGGAUGCGAGAGGCACAUGGAACUCAUGGAGUAGGGGUGAAAUCCGUUGAUAUACAUGGGGAACACCGAAAGCGAAGGCAAUGUGCUGGCGCACUCCUGACACUGAGACACGAAAGCGUAGGUAGCGAAUGGG
rnacentral:rRNA from 1 species